rnacentral:misc_RNA from 1 species
UGGUUCUGGCAUCGAUGAAGAACGCAGCGAAAUGCGAGAGGUAAUGUGAAUUGCAGAAUUCCGUGAAUCAUCGAAUCUUUGAACGCACAUUGCGCCCUCCGGCAUUCCGGGGGGCACGCCCGUCCGAGCGUCAUCUCUACCUCCAGCCAGGCUGGGCCUUGGGCGUCGGGCGCCAGCGCCCGCGCCCGGAAUCACACGGCCGCCCGGCCGCGUCGGGGCGUCAGGACGUAACACGUUCGCCCGCGACGCGACCGCGCAGCGGCCGCAAGCAACCAAGGUGGACCUCGGAUCGGGCGGGGAUACCCGCUGA